rnacentral:lncRNA from 1 species
GAGCUGCCACGCGCUGCGCGGAGCCGGCACCUGGGGCUGCUAUGGGGUGGGGCAGGGAGGCUAGGGGACCGCAGGGUGCAGAGGUUGUACCUCUGGAAAAUUGACCUGGUGACACGCCCCACCCGGAGGAGCCCUCUUAGAAGGUGCGGUGGGUAACUUACUAGGGCCGAGCGCGCCCCACGAGGAAAGAAUUGCCGGUCUGCUGGGCCUUCCAUCAGAAAGGAGACUAAACCAGCUGCUGGAAGCCGUCGCUGUGGUGUGCGGCCGGGCUGGGGACCGCUUUUCCAGAAAAAGAGGACCUAGUCGUGAACGACCCAACCACCGCUGCUGGGGACAGGGAAAUUAAUUAAUUAAUUAAAAAAACUUGAGUGCUCGCUGGAAAAAUUAAGCCGUUUGUGAGCUUGCUCCAGAGCUUUUCCCACCGUGUCACACUGGAGAGGUUACUGGUGCGAAGAGGUCAGUGGACGUGAUAUUGGAUCCCGGAGACAGACCGGAUGACCCAGGGCCCGGAGGCGUGCAAGCUCAAUCCUGGCUGCGGGGUGUGGUGCACAGCGAAGGCGAGAAGCGGGUGACAAGUGGGUGCGACUCACAGCACAGGGAACUGGGAGGGCUCCUCCACCACUAAGAAGGACUUCCCCCCACCCCCACCCCCAGCAGAUGUUGGAAUAAUUACAGUGUCUGAGUGGCAGGCGAAAUGGCGGGGUCCUUGUACAUACAUCUGACAUAGGCUUAACAGGGAGAAGUGUAAUGCGCUGUGGGUGUCCACGCAUGGUAGACCCACGAUCACGUGAGGAUAGCUACUCACGUGAGUUGAGGAAAGUAGGUGACUUGAAGCGCAGGGGAAGAGGCAAGGGAAGGGCUGUAUUUAGCCCACAUGAACGCGCCCACGGGGCAGGGGCGUGGGGGGAGAACUAGGGCGGGCAUCUGAGAGUCAUACCUGAGACUUCAAACAUCCAAGUUUCUGGGAACCCACUUUUGGCUACGGGAUUCAGAUGCUCUCUGUCCAGUCUUUGGCUGAGGGUAAGUGACUAGCACUGGUUCACCAGUAGCUGAUCUGAUGCUGGGCUGCUCUGGUAGGUGAGUGAGGAGCUAGAAGCUGCCUAGAGUGAAUUCCACCCUUGGCGGUGGAACCUAGGGAAGAGUGUGUUGAAAGAGGAAGGCUCUGAUGUAAAGCCAGAUUCUGGCUCACUCAGACCUGAACAGCACUAACUUGUUCUGAUUACUCCCUGUUCUAUAGAGAAGAUGUCUUUUGAGAAUAGGGACCUCAUUUACACCGUUACACAGUGUCGAGUUUGUAAGAUGUCACUCGAGUGCUCCGCAAGAGCUCUCAAAAACAAGAAUUACCUUUCCUCUGUGACUCUAAUGCAGUGCUUUCUUGUUCUUCGGUUGGGGGUGGGGGGUGGGGGUGCGAAUAAUUUCUUAUUCAAACUUAAACCUUUUAAGAUUAAAAGGAGAGGCCCGGUGCUAUAUAUAACCUCAGAUGACAACAGGCAGGAACUGUGACUUACUUUCACCCCAGCCAUUGUUGCAGAUGAACCAGGCCGUUAAGAGGUUGUCAUAGUAAUAUUCAUCUCUCAAUAGACUAUGAACUCAAGAGUUCUUGCCUUUUGGCUUCUAGCACACACCGUACAUGUUGAACAGGACUGUCCUCCAAGCCAAACAACUGUCAUCUUGGUGCAAAUGAACAUCCCAGCUGUGGCUACUGACUGUUUAUCUCACUCAGAGAGGGGAGUGAGGCUCAGGAGCCCCACACUGGGUAUCCAGUCACUUACUACCACGCUUUCUAUGUGCAUCUGCCUUCCUUGCAUGUGGCCUCCAGGAAAGGCUAGAGUGUAUAUAGGCUGAGAAGCUAGGAGAGUGGGGAUCCAUCUGUGUGACUAGUGGAAAGCCUUCAUCCCUGCUGGGUCAUGUUAGUUUUCAGUGUGGCCUCUAAGAAAAGAGCACUUACCCUUCACUAAGUAACCCCUCACCUGUGAUCCAAGGAAGUCCAAUGAACUCACUGCUUUCCAGAGUGAACUUCGGUUGCGUGGUGCCUCGGUUUGUCUGUGGACCUUAGGAGGAAGGGUAGAUGCUGCUAAUGCCUCCCCUAGGGAGGAAUUUGAGCAACAUUUGCAAUAUUCAAUAAAGUUGAAUGAUC